rnacentral:rRNA from 1 species
AGCGAACGCUGGCGGCAGGCCUAACACAUGCAAGUCGAACGAACUCUUCGGAGUUAGUGGCGGACGGGUGAGUAACACGUGGGAACGUGCCUUUUGGUUCGGAAUAACUCAGGGAAACUUGUACUAAUACCGAAUGUGCCCUUCGGGGGAAAGAUUUAUCGCCAUUAGAGCGGCCCGCGUCUGAUUAGCUAGUUGGUGAGGUAACGGCUCACCAAGGCGACGAUCAGUAGCUGGUCUGAGAGGAUGACCAGCCACACUGGGACUGAGACACGGCCCAGACUCCUACGGGAGGCAGCAGUGGGGAAUCUUGCGCAAUGGGCGAAAGCCUGACGCAGCCAUGCCGCGUGAAUGAUGAAGGUCUUAGGAUUGUAAAAUUCUUUCACCGGGGACGAUAAUGACGGUACCCGGAGAAGAAGCCCCGGCUAACUUCGUG